rnacentral:rRNA from 1 species
CGGACGGGUGAGUAACGCGUGGGUAACCUGCCUUGUACAGGGGGAUAACAGUUGGAAACGGCUGCUAAUACCGCAUAAGCACACGGCAUCGCAUGAUGCAGUGUGAAAAACUCCGGUGGUAUAAGAUGGACCCGCGUUGGAUUAGCUAGUUGGUGAGGUAACGGCCCACCAAGGCGACGAUCCAUAGCCGACCUGAGAGGGUGACCGGCCACAUUGGGACUGAGACACGGCCCAA